rnacentral:rRNA from 1 species
UACGUAGGGACCGAGCGUUGUCCGGAUUCAUUGGGCGUAAAGAGCUCGUAGGCGGCCACUCAAGUCGAAUGUGAAACCUCGAGGCUUAACCUCGAGCCUGCAUUCGAUACUGGGCGGCUAGAGUCUGGUAGGGGGAUCUGGAAUUCCUGGUGUAGCGGUGGAAUGCGCAGAUAUCAGGAGGAACACCGGUGGCGAAGGCGGGAUCCUGGGCCGUAACUGACGCUGAGGAGCGAAAGCAUGGGGAGCGAACAGG